GACGAACGCUGGCGGCGUGCCUAAUACAUGCAAGUAGAACGCACAGUUUAUACCGUAGCUUGCUACACCAUAAACUGUGAGUUGCGAACGGGUGAGUAACGCGUAGGUAACCUGCCUGGUAGCGGGGGAUAACUAUUGGAAACGAUAGAUAAUACCGCAUAAUAUUAAUUAUUGCAUGAUAAUUGAUUGAAAGAUGCAAUUGCAUCACUACCAGAUGGACCUGCGUUGUAUUAGCUAGUAGGUGAGGUAACGGCUCACCUAGGCGACGAUACAUAGCCGACCUGAGAGGGGGAUCGGCCACACUGGGACUGAGACACGGCCCAGACUCCUGCGGGAGGCAGCAGUAGGGAAUCUUCGGCAAUGGACGAGAGUCUGACCGAGCAACGCCGCGUGAGUGAAGAAGGUGUUCGGAUCGUAAAGCUCUGUUGUAAGAGAAGAACGGGUGUGAGAGUGGAAAGUUCACACUGUGACGGUAUCUUACCAGAAAGGGACGGCUAACUACGUG
rnacentral:rRNA from 1 species